rnacentral:lncRNA from 1 species
AAGAUCAACCCUCCCCCAUGGGCUCCUGCCUGCCUGCCAGGUUUUCCUGUCUCCUGGAGGACAAGGAUGAGGGCUUUCCACUUGAGUCUCCCUGGUGGAGCCCAGCUCCUGACAUACCUGGUAAAAGUUCUCAAGAGAAGAACAUGGAGGAGGAAUGUGGAUAACAACCCUGGCUGCCUGUGUGUUCCAAGCUAGGAAGAUGUAAUGUCCCCACAAACGGGGUAAAUGGCUUGCCUGCGUCACAGCUGUCUCAAGCCCAGGCCCUGGGUGCCAGCCCAAGCCCAAGGACUAGGUCCAGAGCCACACAGCGCCAGGCCACAUCCGCCUCACCUGGGACCUUUUGUGGGGUACAGUCUCCGGCCCCACCCAGACCUGCUGAAGGAGAGACCCCAUGGCAAGGACUCAGCCACCUGCAGUUUCAUAAGCCCCCAGUGGGUUCCUAGGCAUGAAGACCACCGGUUAGAGGCUGAACUGGCAGGAACCUGUCUCCAGCCCCUUCUCACCCCAGCCGGGCCCUGCCUCAGAGGCAGCACCCAGGACGUGGCCAUGACCCGUGGACUCCACUCAAUCCCUCUUCUCCAGGAGCCAUGCAAAGUGUCAGCCAGCCAGGCCCCUGGAAGGCAGUCAUCACCUCUUAAGGCAUUGCGGGUGUCGGUCCUGCAACUGCCAGGUGCAGCACACGACCCAUGUCCGGUGUUCGAUAGCAGGGAGCCAUGACCUGGCAACGAUUCCACGCUCAAAGGGGCACCCGGGGGGCCCUGGGUCGGGGCGGAUCAGCUUUCCCUGGGCACAUCUGCCUCAUUCCAGAUCUCCAGGGCUCAUGUCUGUGACAGGGAGGGAAGGCUCUGCCCUGGCCUUCCGUCAGCUCUGCCAGUGCAGGCUGGGCAGCCUGGGCUUUAGAGCUGGCUUCUGCCCACACUUUCUCCGUGAAAGGAAAACAACUAUGAGUCUGCCAAACGCAUCUCAGAUGCGUUUUAAAAAAUUCUGGUCCCCGCUCUCUGUCCCAUCAUCUGCCUCGGGGACUUCCUCUCUCCGUGGUUCUCACCCCAUACUCUGUCACUGCCACAUUUUCACCUGGGCCUGGCCUUUGUCUCCACCUGAAACUCCUGAAAAUCUUGAAAUGGAUUUCUAGGUCACUGGGGACUCCGGCAGCACAUUCGGCUUCAGAAUAAAGGGCGCCCGCGGUCCCCCAGCACCUGCCCAAGCCACACCCCUAGCUUCCCUCCCUAUCCCUGCAGCCUGAGGGUCCCUUCAGCCACCCCUAAGUCCCCACCUGGGCUCCUGCCCCGCCCCUGGCUAGCAGCGCCUUCUCCACCGGGGCCCCUCUGCUCACAGAGCCCCCUCACCUCCCUGGGGAUGAGGGGCCAGGCCAUGACCCUGAAAGCCUAGCCCUGGCCUUGACCUCCCAGGAGCGCCCUCCCCGCCCUCUCCCGGCCCCGGCCCCGUCCUCUGCUGCUGGCCUCUGGGUCGUGCCCCGCAGACUGAGCUGCGCUUGGGGGUCCUGGCGGCCUGGGCCGUCCCGCACCGAACCCAGGCGGUCGGAGCCCGGCGGGGAGGCGCGAGGUCCUUCUGGGGGCUCCUCCGACGCCUGAGGG